CGGCUGUGAUGUCUCAACUCACGAUGGUCUGCAGAGUCCCCGCUGGCACGGGGCUGCUGAGGGUGCCACUGGCAGCUGCUGAGCCGGGAGC